GUAUAUUUUAUUUAUUGUUUAAUAAUUGAGUUGUAUUUUACUUAUUAAUUUUUAACCCUAAUUUUAUAGGAGGGACCAAAAAGCAUAUCCGUGUUUAAGAGGUCAACUAGAACCACGAGCUCAGUAGAAGCUUAUAAUUUGAAUUUGGGAAAUAAAAUUCAAACAAAUGGGCACUUUUUUAAAUUUGUUCAAUGUCUUAUUGAUGCAGAAUAUGAAAAAAGUCGCGAGUUUGCUUUACUCUUUCAAAAUGGUGGUAAUGGAAAUCAGACACAGAAGAAGAAACUACGUGAUCGCUCAAAAAAAAUAAUGGACGCAAUGGAUCUUUUUGAAAGAGGUGAAAUAGAUAUACAGGGAUUUCUGACAUGCACUGUUUCCUUAGCUGACCGCUUUUCAAAGCAUGACUUCUUUGAAGGGGUGGACAAUGAAAGCAAUUUAACUGGAAUGUCUUCUGAUAUGAAAUCUUCCACAUCGUCACUUUCAUCGAAUGCUUCUCAUUCAAGUCAGUCAUCUGAUAAAUCAUUGGUUCAAAUGAAUCCAUGCAAUGUGUGCCUAUGUAACCCAAAGUCUGUGUUGUUGCGCCCGUGCAAUCACGUAAACAUUUGUGGUACAUGUUGGGAUCAAAUUGUGGC